rnacentral:lncRNA from 1 species
CAAAAUCAUACCACUGGUUCAAGCCAUACCUGAAGGAGUCUCCUUCCUGUAUAUUUCAGUUAUGAUAAACAUGAAUAAACUUCAUAUUGUUGCCAAUUUCAGAUGGGAUUUCUAUCACUGUCAGAACAGGAGAACGUUAUGCUGUCUGCAGUCUUUGUAUUUGUAGAUCACAUAGUAGGGAAUUGCAGGCAGUUUUGGGUCAAACCAAGAGCUGUGAG